AUUGAACGCUGGCGGCAUGCCUUACACAUGCAAGUCGAACGGUAACAGGCCGCAAGGUGCUGACGAGUGGCGAACGGGUGAGUAAUGCAUCGGAACGUGCCCAGUCGUGGGGGAUAACUGCUCGAAAGAGCAGCUAAUACCGCAUACGACCUGAGGGUGAAAGCGGGGGAUCGCAAGACCUCGCGCAAUUGGAGCGGCCGAUAUCAGAUUAGGUAGUUGGUGGGGUAAAGGCCCACCAAGCCAACGAUCUGUAGCUGGUCUGAGAGGACGACCAGCCACACUGGGACUGAGACACGGCCCAGACUCCUACGGGAGGCAGCAGUGGGGAAUUUUGGACAAUGGGCGCAAGCCUGAUCCAGCAAUGCCGCGUGCAGGAAGAAGGCCUUCGGGUUGUAAACCGCUUUUGUACGGAGCGAAAAGGCUCUCUCUAAUACAGGGGGCUCAUGACGGUACCGUAAGAAUAAGCACCGGCUAACUACGUGCCAGCCGCCGCGGUAACAC
rnacentral:rRNA from 1 species